CCUUCGAUAGCUCAGUGGUAGAGCGCGGAAUGCAAAUACGGCUCCUUCGAUCCCGAUGAAUUUCAUCCCGAGCUGCGCUGGUUCGAUGCCAGCUCGAAGGA
rfam:Peniophora sp. CONT PENSPscaffold_2_Cont5, whole genome shotgun sequence.